CCGCGGUAAUACAGAGGUCCCGAGCGUUGUUCGGAUUCACUGGGCGUAAAGGGUGCGUAGGUGGUCGGGUAAGUCUGGUGUGAAAUCUCCGAGCUCAACUCGGAAAUGGCAUUGGAUACUAUUCGGCUAGAGGAUUGGAGGGGGGACUGGAAUACUUGGUGUAGCAGUGAAAUGCGUAGAUAUCAAGUGGAACACCAGUGGCGAAGGCGAGUCCCUGGACAAUUCCUGACACUGAGGCACGAAAGCUAGGGGAGCAAACAGG
rnacentral:rRNA from 1 species